rnacentral:rRNA from 1 species
AACGAACGCUGGCGGCAGGCUUAACACAUGCAAGUCGAGCGCCCCGCAAGGGGAGCGGCAGACGGGUGAGUAACGCGUGGGAACGUACCUUUUGGUUCGGAACAACUCCGGGAAACUGGAGCUAAUACCGGAUAAGCCCUAACGGGGAAAGAUUUAUCGCCGAAAGAUCGGCCCGCGUCUGAUUAGCUAGUUGGUGAGGUAACGGCUCACCAAGGCGACGAUCAGUAGCUGGUCUGAGAGGAUGAUCAGCCACACUGGGACUGAGACACGGCCCAGACUCCUACGGGAGGCAGCAGUGGGGAAUAUUGGACAAUGGGCGCAAGCCUGAUCCAGCCAUGCCGCGUGAGUGAUGAAGGUCUUAGGGUUGUAAAGCUCUUUUGUCCGGGAAGAUAAUGACUGUACCGGAAGAAUAAGCCCCGGCUAACUUCGUG